CCUACGGGAGGCAGCAGUGAGGAAUAUUGGACAAUGGGCGCAAGCCUGAUCCAGCCAUGCCGCGUGCAGGAAGACGGUCCUAUGGAUUGUAAACUGCUUUUGUACGGGAAGAAACACUCCUUCGUGAAGGAGCUUGACGGUACCGUAAGAAUAAGGAUCGGCUAACUCCGUGCCAGCAGCCGCGGUAAUACGGAGGAUCCAAGCGUUAUCCGGAAUCAUUGGGUUUAAAGGGUCCGUAGGCGGUUUAGUAAGUCAGUGGUGAAAGCCCAUCGCUCAACGGUGGAACGGCCAUUGAUACUGCUAGACUUGAAUUAUUAGGAAGUAACUAGAAUAUGUAGUGUAGCGGUGAAAUGCUUAGAGAUUACAUGGAAUACCAAUUGCGAAGGCAGGUUACUACUAAUGGAUUGACGCUGAUGGACGAAAGCGUGGGUAGCGAACAGGAUUAGAUACCCUGGUAGUCCACGCCGUAAACGAUGGAUACUAGCUGUUGGGCGCAAGUUCAGUGGCUAAGCGAAAGUGAUAAGUAUCCACCUGGGGAGUACGUUCGCAGAAUGAAACUUAAAUGAAUUGACGGCGNGAGAGNGACGAGACGACGACGAGGGAGGAGG
rnacentral:rRNA from 1 species